rnacentral:rRNA from 1 species
GAAACUCAAAGGAAUUGACGGGGACCCGCACAAGCGGUGGAUGAUGUGGUUUAAUUCGAUGCAACGCGAAAAACCUUACCUACCCUUGACAUGCCAGGAAUUCUGCAGAGAUGUGGAAGUGCUCGAAAGAGAACCUGGACACAGGUGCUGCAUGGCCGUCGUCAGCUCGUGUCGUGAGAUGUUGGGUUAAGUCCCGCAACGAGCGCAACCCUUGUCAUCAGUUGCUACGAAAGGGCACUCUGAUGAGACUGCCGGUGACAAACCGGAGGGAGGUGGGGAUGACGUCAGGUCCUCAUGGCCCUUAUGGGUAGGGCUACACACGUCAUACAAUGGCCGGUACAGAGGGCAGCCAACCCGCGAGGGGGAGCCAAUCCCAGAAAACCGGUCGUAGUCCGGAUCGCAGUCUGCAACUCGACUGCGUGAAGUCGGAAUCGCUAGUAAUCGCGGAUCAGCUUGCCGCGGUGAAUACGUUCCCGGGUCUUGUACACACCGCCCGUCACACCAUGGGAGCGGGUUCUGCCAGAAGUAGUUAGCCUAACCGCAAGGGGGGCGAUUACCACGGCAGGGUUCGUGACUGGGGUGAAGUCGUAACAAGGUAGCCGUAUCGGAAGGUGCGGCUGGAUCACC